UAAUCAAGUCCGAAACAUACAAAUAUAAAAAAGUAAUUAAAAGAGAUAUAAGCAUACGAGACAUUAAAGGAUAGCGGCUGACAAGAAGCAAGACAAACAUUAAAAGAAGACUUUUGGCCGGACAAAGACAUCUCCCUGGGCUUUGUGAAACAGUUAUGCACCUGGCAGACGUCUCCUGGGGUUACAGCUCUCCAGGAAAGCAGCUGAUGACACACAUAGCAACAAUCCGGGACACUUCCAGGACUCCACAGUCCUAAGAUGGUGCACCAGGAGGUCAAGCUGUGGUUCACAGAGCAGACGUAGGUCACCGCUACGGGAUACCUGAACCCCAUGA